rnacentral:rRNA from 1 species
UGUGGAAGUUUCUAAGGGCGCAUGGUGGAUGCCUUGGCAACAGGAGCCGAAGAAGGACGUGGGAAUCUGCGAUAAGCCUGGUGGAGUCGAUAACCGGACGUUGAGACCAGGAUUUCCGAAUGGGGAAACCCCGCACGACGUGUCGUGUGACCACCGGUUGAACACAUAGACCGGUUGGAGGGAACGUGGGGAAGUGAAACAUCUCAGUACCCACAGGAAGAGAAAACAAAAGUGAUUCCGUUAGUAGUGGCGAGCGAACGCGGAUGGGGCUAAACCGUAUGUGUGUGAUACCCGGCAGGGGUUGCAUGUGCGGUGUUGUGGGCCCCUCCUUGUCAUGUCUGCCGGCAUGGCGCAGUGAGGUGCGGGCAUAUAGACGAACCAGUGUGGAUGCUGGACCGUAGAGGGUGAGAGUCCCGUAGUCGAAAUGUGUUCCGCCGCUGUUGGAGGGUCGCCCGAGUAGCACGGGGCCCGAGGAAUCCCGUGUGAAUCUGCCAGGACCACCUGGUAAGCCUGAAUACUACCUGUUGACCGAUAGCGGAUCAGUACCGUGAGGGAAUGGUGAAAAGUACCCCGGGAGGGGAGUGAAAUAGUACCUGAAACCAUGUGCCUACAAACCGUUGGAGCCUCCUUGUUGGGGUGACAGCGUGCCUUUUGAAGAAUGAGCCUGCGAGUUAGUGAUACGUGGCGAGGUUAACCCGUGUGGGGAAGCCGUAGCGAAAGCGAGUCUGAAUAGGGCGAUUGAGUCGCGUGUCCUAGACCCGAAGCGGAGUGAUCUACCCAUGGCCAGGUUGAAGCGCGUGUAAGAGCGCGUGGAGGACCGAACCCACUUCAGUUGAAAAUGGAGGGGAUGAGCUGUGGGUAGGGGUGAAAGGCCAAUCAAACUCCGUGAUAGCUGGUUCUCCCCGAAAUGCAUUUAGGUGCAGCGUCACGUGUUUCUUCCCGGAGGUAGAGCUACUGGAUGGACGAUGGGCCCUACAAGGUUACUGACUUCAGCCAAACUCCGAAUGCCGGGAAGUGAGAGCGUGGCAGUGAGACUGUGGGGGAUAAGCUUCAUAGUCGAGAGGGAAACAGCCCAGACCACCGGUUAAGGCCCCUAAGCGUGUGCUAAGUGGGAAAGGAUGUGGAGUUGCUGAGACAACCAGGAGGUUGGCUUAGAAGCAGCCACCCUUGAAAGAGUGCGUAAUAGCUCACUGGUCAAGUGAUUCCGCGCCGACAAUGUAGCGGGGCUCAAGUACACCGCCGAAACCGUGGCAUUCAGUUUUGCUGGAUGGGUAGGGGAGCGUCGUUCACGAGGUGAAGCCAGCGGGUAACUUCUGGUGGAUUGUGGACGAGUGAGAAUGCAGGCAUGAGUAGCGAAAGACGGGUGAGAAACCCGUCCGCCGGAUGACUAAGGGUUCCAGGGUCAAGCUAAUCUGCCCUGGGUAAGUCGGGACCUAAGGCGAGGCCGACAGGCGUAGUCGAUGGACAACGGGUUGAUAUUCCCGUACCAGUGAAGAACCGCCCAUGCUGAGCCGGUGAUACUAACCGCCCGAACCAUCCCGAACCCCGUCUUUGACGGGGUCGGUGGUGGGGAGCGCGGGACCUGAACCGGGGAGGCAAGCGCAUUAACAGGUGUGACGCAGGAAGGUAGCCGGGCCAGGCAAUGGAAUCGACCUGGUCUAAGGGUGUAGGGCUGCCGGUAGGUAAAUCCGCCGGCUAUGUGCUUGAGACCUGAUGGGCUCCCACGUGGUGGGUGAUCCGGUGAUCCUAUGCUGCCAAGAAA